CCUGGCCCCGCCCGUGCAGUUCUCUUUGUGCGGCGGACUCGCGCGGAGUAAAGAUGGUCCUCAGGCGGUUGGCCUGUCGCCCGCUGCGGAACCUUCCCCAGAGCAGGGGGAGCCUGCAGCCUGCGCCGUCUUUGCACAGCUACCGGCGUGCAGCUCCUGAUUCUCGAAGGAGGGUCCGAGGCACCACGAGGGAGUUAAAACGUCCACCGGUGUGUUAUUCUUAAAAGAGGGCCUGAGAGCUUUGGAAGCCCAGCCAGGGCAGUACCUCUUCACAGAGAUUCCAGGCUAGCCUGGUGACUGAAGGCCUAAAGUUUGGAAUUCUCUUGGAGAAGCACUUUUGGGGUGGCUGGGAUGUCCAGGUGAUGGUUCCUGCCACUUCAGCAACAGGCUGUGACAAGAAGUGGAGAGCAAGAUGCCUUCUACCUGGGUACUAUGUUUUAGGAUUUUGCUGAUGCAGAGGAUGUCCCUUACCUGGUGUUGGUCAGAUCCUUGAAACUUCACAUGUUUCCUGAGUGAACCUGUGUGAGCAGCUGUCAAACUCCGGUGGAGAGGGGGUGGGCUGCCUAGAAAUUUGGGGACCAAAAUCAAUUAGGUGAUCUUUAUUAGAAAGGUUGCAAUAAAAUGUUUUAAAGCAAAUAAAAAUAGGUGGAUCUGAGUAAAAGCAAAAGGGUACAGAAAGAUUUAGGGAUGUGAAAGUGAAUGAGCAUCACAGUUGACAUCUAAUUGUAGCUCUUUCCAGGUACAUUACAAAAAACUAAAAUUAGGUUUGUCACAUAUUGACACCAAUGUUGAGGAUUUCUAGAUGGAGUACCAUAACAUUUUUAAUAUUUGAGGUUUUAAUUAUACUAUUAACACA